rnacentral:rRNA from 1 species
GAUGAACGCUGGCGGCGUGCCUAAUACAUGCAUGUCGAGCGAACAGACGAGGAGCUUGCUCCUUUGACGUUAGCGGCGGACGGGUGAGUAACACGUAGGUAACCUACCUAUAAGACUGGGAUAACUUCGGGAAACCGGAGCUAAUACCGGAUAAUAUUUCGAACCGCAUGGUUCGAUAGUGAAAGAUGGCUUUGCUAUCACUUAUAGAUGGACCUGCGCCGUAUUAGCUAGUUGGUAAGGUAACGGCUUACCAAGGCAACGAUACGUAGCCGACCUGAGAGGGUGAUCGGCCACACUGGAACUGAGACACGGUCCAGACUCCUACGGGAGGCAGCAGUAGGGAAUCUUCCGCAAUGGGCGAAAGCCUGACGGAGCAACGCCGCGUGAGUGAUGAAGGUCUUCGGAUCGUAAAACUCUGUUAUUAGGGAAGAACAAACGUGUAAGUAACUGUGCACGUCUUGACGGUACCUAAUCAGAAAGCCACGGCUAACUACGUG